rnacentral:sRNA from 1 species
GCAGUCAUUCUUUAGUCACAGGCAGUUUAAGCUGUUAAAUAGUAUCUUGCUUUGAAAGGUAGGCUGAUGGCAUUUCUAUCUUCUGGUACAUCUGGAGAUACAACAGAUGAGCAAAGAAUGACAGAAAGAGGCAAAACUUCGGACAUAGAGGCCAACCAACCUUUGGAGACCAACAAAGAAAAUUCAUCCAGUGUGACUGUAUCAGACCCUGAGAUGGAAAAUAAGGCAGGCCAGACUCUGGAGAACAGCUCAUUAAUGGCCGAGCUCCUGAGCGAUGUACCCUUCACCCUGGCCCCGCAUGUGCUGGCAGUACAGGGCACCAUCACUGACCUUCCCGACCACUUACUCUCCUAUGAUGGCAGCGAAAACUUAUCACGGUUUUGGUAUGAUUUCACUCUUGAAAAUUCAGUGCUCUGUGAUUCAUAAUCUUUAUGUCUGUUUGCACCUUAACAGCUUUAAAAUAUGUUCGCCUAUUUUAUCUAACCUGUUUGAUGUUCUUUGCCGUUUCACUGUUUAAGGUCCUCAGCAAGGAUCAUAAAGCAAAGAAAAUAGCAUUAUGUUCAUUACUCUAUUUUUAAGAAAAAGGUACAUUUGUAUACAAAUUGAACUUAAGUUCUACUUCCUUUCUCCCACAUAAUAAAUAUACAAAUUAGGCUAUGAAGGUUUUAUGAAAGGACUCGAUUCCUUCAGAUGGUCUCUCAAAAUAUAACACCUCAAAUUUAUCUUAGAAGAACUGUGAAAAAGAAUUGUGGCAUUUUUCAGUCACUACAGCUCCGAAGUCUGAGCAAGAAGUGGGUGUGAAGUCUCCUCUCUGGUUUGUAGGAAGUUGAAUUAGUGUUAUUCCUGCAUUUUUUUCUUCCACAGUGUUUAUGAAUGAAUUCAGAAAAAAAGUUGCCAGUUAGCUUAAUUUCUUCAGAUGCAUUGAUGUGGAAAUCUAAAACUUGUCCUAAACAGCAGUGCUAGUUUGCUGAUACGAGGAUGCUAGACCUGCUCUGCGUGCUCUUUCUGGAGUGGCCCAUUUCGGUUUUCUGAAACCCAUGGCAGCCCUUUCCAUCGUGAAUAAUCGUUGUGUUCCCACCUUUGUUCUCUGCCUUUUUGCUACUUCAGUGUGCUCUCUGACCAGCUUUCCAAAGAACUUUCCCUGCUUCUGCCUCGGUUGCCAUUUGCUCUCCUUACCACAUAUGUUCCCAGUUUAUGACGAGAUCCACAUUUCCUUUCAACCCCUCUGCCUCCUGAAGAAAAACAUCUCAUGAUGAUACAUAUUAUUGCUGAUAACACCCUUAUUUAGAAAUUUGUUGGCCACAAUACAGAUGGAAAUGUUUUACUGCUGGAAAAACUAAAAUCAACUCAUUUCUAAUUAGAGUAUAGGCAGAACACCUAGAUAUGACUUUUAGUUCUUGAAUAUCCAUUACUUACUUUAAUGAAAACAGAACUGCCAUUGGUCAAGAAACUGUAAAGGGAAGAGGUAAAUUGUGAUAGAGAAUUUUCUAUGUCAUGGGAAAUUGAAAUCACAUUUAUUUUGAUUACCAGCAAUAUGAUUUAUUAACUCUGUGCCAAGUUUUAAGUAUAUUUUUUCACAAAGAUAGAGUGCCAUAGUGAAACUAAACACUGUGCAUAAAGGUACAUUAAUUAUUCCAGUUUUAAAGUAUUAUGCAUGUUUGUUUAAUAAAUGUGGCAUGGUUUUAAUACAAAUGCUAUGUUAUUUAAAAGUUAGAGGAACAUUUCUAUUGACAAAAAUAUGCUUCAUUUACAUAUAAUGUUACCAUAUGAUGUGAAUGAUUAAAUUAGAUCUUUACAUAGUUCUUAUAAAGCAUCAGUCUAGGAAAUAUGACUUAUUACUGAUGCAAAUGUGAACAUUUUGUAGUAGUUUUGUAAAAGAACAUCCUUUUCAAAUAUCUAUGUUAAUGUCCCCUUGAAAUUAAAUGCAAGCACAUAGUCAGUUUGUCUAAUUUUGUGUGAAAUUUUGUCGAAAAUACCUAAACAUUUCAUCUAUAUUUGUGCCUACCAGGUUAUAAAUGUUCAUAAGUACCUUCAUGUGUCUAUAAAAAAUGUUAUAUUUAAAUAAAUGUGAAUUAAAAUAAAAUUUUUGAUUAUUUUCAGAUCCAGAAAAA